GCGAGCGCGAGCCGCCACCCCAUUGGCCGGCGGCGGCUCCCGGCGGGCUCGGCGGCGGAGCGCGGGAGCGGCGGCGCGCGAGCGGCCGGGAUGGGAAUCCAUGGCUUGGCCAAGCUUAUCGCCGAUGUGGCUCCCGGGGCCAUCCGGGAGAACGACAUCAAGUCCUACUUUGGCCGGAAGGUGGCCAUCGACGCCUCCAUGAGCAUCUACCAGUUCCUGAUCGCCGUGCGGCAGGGAGCUGACGUGCUCCAGAACGAGGACGGCGAGACCACCAGCCACCUGAUGGGCAUGUUCUACCGCACCAUCCGCAUGGUGGAGAACGGCAUCAAGCCGGUGUACGUGUUCGACGGCAAGCCCCCGCAGCUGAAAUCCGGGGAGCUGGCCAAGCGCACGGAGCGCCGCGCCGAGGCGGAGAAGCACCUGCAGGAAGCGCAGGAGGCCGGGGAGGAGGAGAACAUCGAGAAGUACAGCAAGAGGCUGGUGAAGGUGACCCCGCAGCACACGCAGGAGUGCAAGAAGCUGCUGACGCUGAUGGGAAUUCCCUACGUGGAGGCGCCCGGGGAGGCAGAGGCCAGCUGUGCCGCCCUGGUGAAGGCCGGGAAGGUGUACGCCGCCGCCACGGAGGACAUGGAUUGCCUCACCUUCGGCAGCCCCGUGCUGAUGCGGCACCUCACGGCCAGCGAGACCAAGAAGCUGCCCAUCCAGGAGUUCCACCUGAACCGGAUCCUGCAGGACCUGCAGCUGACCUGGGAGCAGUUUGUGGACCUGUGCAUCCUGCUGGGCUGCGACUACUGCGCCAGCAUCCGCGGCAUCGGGCCGAAGCGCGCCGUGGAGCUCAUCCGGGAGCACAAAUCCAUCGAGAGGAUCGUGCAGCAGCUCGACACCAAGAAGUACCCCCUGCCCGAGAACUGGCUGCACAAGGAGGCCCAGAAGCUCUUCCUGGAGCCCGACGUGGUCGAUCCCGACGCGGUGGAGCUGAAGUGGAGCGAACCGGACGAGGAGCAGCUGGUGCAGUUCAUGUGCGGGGAGAAGCAGUUCAACGAGGAGCGCAUCCGCAACGGCGUCAGGAGGCUGAGCAAGAGCCGCCAGGGAAGCACCCAGGGCCGCCUCGACGACUUCUUCAAGGUCACCGGAUCCAUCACCUCGGCCAAGCGCAAGGAGCCGGAGCCCAAGGGAGGGGCCAAGAAGAAAGCCAAGACCAACUCCAAGCCCAACGGCACCGCGGCCACAAAGACUAAAAAGGCAAAAUAACCGGAUCGGGCGCCCACAGAACUCUGGGAUUGGGUUUUUGGGGGGCUUAAUGAGGAAUUUUAGACGAAUGGCAGUUGUGUGUCAGUGCUGCGAGUUAGUGCUGGGAAGGAAUGGGUGAGGCCAGCAGAGUGGAAGAGCUUCUGGGCACAAACACUCCCAGAUUUCAGAAUUCCAAAGCUGAACAGCUCCAGAGCAGACUCAGGACAGAUUAGAUUUCAGCCUGAUCCCAUCCAUCCCAGAAAAGGUAGAUGCAAGCAGAAACUGGAAAGAUAGGAGUGGAAGGCAAGCUGGAAUUGAGAAGGAGGCUUCAAGUAAUGAGAGAAGUGGCUUAAACGGUGGUUUUAAAUGAAAAUCCCAGUUUUAGAGGGAAUUCCAUAGCAGCCGACAAACCAAACGCAGUCUGGAACACAAAGAAUUCCAGUUUUGAGCUCUCUGGAUGCUUCGUAGACAUCAAAAUCCACAGGACAUAGACUGUAAGGAAUUCUGAUUAUGGAUCUGGAAGGUUUGAAAAUACAAACAUGUUUCUCUAUCCGGGGCCAAGGCCGGGGCUGCUCCCGGAAGGAAACGCCGCAGCCCCGGAGCGCAGGCGCGGAGCCGGGAGCGGCCGUGGCGGAGCCGGGAGCGGCGGGGCCGGGCUCGGAGCAAAGAACAUCCCAAAGUGCCUCCUCACCCAUGGACAGCAGGAAUGUCUUCCAUAGCUCCUGCUGAGGAAUGGCAGAGGCUGCUGGGAGCUCUGGCAGGAGCACCUGGACACCAGGAUGAGGGAGCCAGCCCUGCCAGGAGGAAGAGGAGGAGGUGUGGGAGGAUGGAGACAGCGGCCACCAAAGGCUGGGGAAGGCACAGGUCCAGGUGGGAGAUGCUGCCUUCCAAGGAACUGUCACUCCCAGCUGGAGCACCUGUGCUCACCUGGAUCAAUGGCACAGGCAGGAGAGGCUUGUCCUGAGCCAGGGUUUCAUUGGAAGGCUCUCAGCUCCUUGGGAAUUGCUUACAGAGCCUGUUGGAGUGCUGGCUGGAUUUGGGAGCCAAGUAUCCUGGAGCUGUGAGGCUUUUCCUGUCAGAAAUCCAUGGUGGGGAUGUGUUCCCUGGCUGUCCCAAGUGGAACAGCUUUGGAGUUGUUGCAGCCACAGGCUGGGGAUGCAUCCCCUGAAAACCAGUUCAGGAUUGUUCAUCUGACUCUGCCACUGACCUGUGACUUCCAGGGACCCUCCUGAUAUCCUGGGUAUUCCCAGGAGAGGAUAUUCCACCACCUGCCUGUUGAGCCAGGAAUUCCAGACCCACAAAGAACAUCCCAAAGUGCCUCCUCACCCAUGGACAGCAGGAAUGUCUUCCAUAGCUCCUGCUGAGGAAUGGCAGAGGCUGCUGGGAGCUCUGGCAGGAGCACCAGGACACCAGGGAAACAUUUAAACAAGAGGAGCCAAAAAGAACUGGAGCUUCUGCACAAUGAAAUCUGCAAGAAUCCAACUUCAAAUCCCCCUGGAUUGUCACUGGUCCAACUUCCAUGGACUGGUCACCGUGGCCAGGAGUGUCCAAUCCUGCUGGAAUGCACUGGACCAGGAGCUCAUUUUCAUUUUGUGCUGGUAAAGACCCUCUGGGUGACCCCCAGUGACUGGAAGGGCCAGACUGGGCUCCCAGGGCACUAAUUCCAGGGGUUCUGUUUUUGGGAAUAGCACAGAGCCGUUCCCUUGCCCAGAGGAGCAGCCAGUGCCUGCCUUGGUCCACAGAUCCCCAGGACUGACCACAGAGGAAAUGACAGGAAUGUGGAAAUCCCCCACAGUGGAGUUUGUGGUGCUCUGGAUGACAUCUUGGAUUUUUAAUGUUAAAGGGGGGCUGUGGAAUGACUUCUCUCCUUUUUAUUGUCAUUGUUCUCACUGCUCGUGUUGCUCUCACUGAUACUGUGUGUUGUCAUUAAUAUUAAAUGAUUGUAUUUGACUGGUUUCCAUUAUUAAACUGUUCUGAGCUGG